rnacentral:rRNA from 1 species
GAUGAACGCUGGCGGCGUGCCUAAUACAUGCAAGUCGAGCGAACAGACGAGGAGCUUGCUCCUCUGACGUUAGCGGCGGAGGGGUGUGAAACACGUGGAUCACCUACCUAUCAGACUGAGAUAACUUCGGGAAACCGGAGCUAAUACGGGAUGAUAUAUUGAAGCGCGUGGUUCAAUAGUGAAAGACGGCUGUGCUGUCACUUCUAGAUGGAUCUGAGCCGCAUUAGCUGGUUGGUAAGGUAACGGCUUACCAAGGCGAGGAUGCGUAGCCGAGCUCAGAGGCGGAUCGCCCACACUGGAACGUAGACACGGUCCAUGCUCCUACGGUAGGCACCAGUAGGCAACCGGCCGCAAUGGGCGAGAGCCUUGCGGAGCAACGCCGCGCCAGUGAUGGAGGCCUCCCGAGCGUAAAGCUCUGUUAUGAGUUAAGAACAAAUGUGGAAUUAACUAUGCACGUCGUGACGGUACCUAAUCAGAAAGCCCCGGCUAACUACGUG